GUCCACGCCGUAAACGAUGAGUGCUGGACGUUGGUGGGCUUGCCCGUCAGUGUCGUAGCUAACGCGAUAAGCACUCCGCCUGGGAAGUACGGCCGCAAGGUUAAAACUCAAAGGAAUUGACGGGGGCCCCGCACAAGCGGUGGAGCAUGUGGUUUAAUUCGACGCAACGCGAAGAACCUUACCAGCCCUUGACAUGGUAGUCGUUGGGUCCAGAGAUGGACUCGUCGGUUCGGCCGGACUACACACAGGUGCUGCAUGGCUGUCGU
rnacentral:rRNA from 1 species